UACGUAGGUGGCAAGCGUUGUCCGGAUUUAUUGGGUUUAAAGGGUGCGUAGGCGGUCCAUUAAGUCAGUUGUGAAAUACGGCAGCUUAACUGUCGAGGUGCAAUUGAUACUGGAGGACUUGAGUACAGACGAGGUAGGCGGAAUUGACGGUGUAGCGGUGAAAUGCAUAGAUAUCGUCAAGAACACCGAUAGCGAAGGCAGCUUACUAGACUGUAACUGACGCUGAGGCACGAAAGUGUGGGGAUCAAACAGG
rnacentral:rRNA from 1 species